rnacentral:rRNA from 1 species
UACGUAGGGGGCAAGCGUUGUUCGGAAUUACUGGGCGUAAAGGGCGCGUAGGCGGCACGGCAAGUCGGGAGUGAAAGGCCUGGGCUCAACCGAGGAACUGCUUUCGAGACUGCCGAGCUAGAGUGCGGAAGGGGCAACCGGAAUUCCCAGUGUAGCGGUGAAAUGCGUAGAUAUUGGGAAGAACACCUGAGGCGAAGGCGGGUUGCUGGGCCGACACUGACGCUGAGGCGCGAAAGCAUGGGGAGCGAACAGG